rnacentral:rRNA from 1 species
ACUCCUACGGGAGGCAGCAGUGGGAAUCUUGGACAAUGGGGGCAACCCUGAUCCAGCCAUGCCGCGUGAGUGAUGAAGGCCCUAGGGUCGUAAAGCUCUUUCGCCUGUGAAGAUAAUGACUGUAGCAGGUAAAGAAACCCCGGCUAACUCCGUGCCAGCAGCCGCGGUAAUACGGAGGGUGCGAGCGUUAAUCGGAAUUACUGGGCGUAAAGCGCAUGCAGGUGGUUUGUUAAGUCAGAUGUGAAAGCCCGGGGCUCAACCUCGGAAUUGCAUUUGAAACUGGCAGACUAGAGUACUGUAGAGGGGGUAGAAUUUCAGGUGUAGCGGUGAAAUGCGUAGAGAUCUGAAGGAAUACCGGUGGCGAAGGCGGCCCCUGCAGCAGAUACUGACACUCAGAUGCGAAA